GGCCAUAGUCCUUGGAUCACUCUGACUUGACAUGUCAUUUCAAAGCUUGAGAGAGCUGAUGGCAGGAACAGAUCCUUCAUACCACGCUGCCACAUGUCCCAUGAGUCUCCAAGGGUCUUGUGGGCUCUACUUCUGAGUGUCCCAGCAAGACUACGAUCAAAAGAUCAUCCACUAUUUUCUCUCAUAGUCCUUCUUUCAAGCAGAACUCAUCACUGGAGGUUCUGUUGACAUAAGACAGAGAGAAGCCUUUUGUUCUCCUUUCAAGUGACAUGACAGGGGAUGAGCCAGCAGCUUGGAAACCGCCCCGGGCCACCUGGAGAAAGACGCUUGCGUGAAUGACGGACAUUCGAAGAGAUGAGUCUUCUAUGACUCAAGGAUCGCAAAAUUGAGGCAGAGUGGCCAUGACUGCCUUGUGAUUCACACAGUGUUGCCGUUGGCUGGAGGGGUGGUGUGUCCUCUGACUUUGCUCUAGCAAGCGUGGAGCCUAAGUAUCUUUACGCAAGUUCUGUGGAUCAAGGAGCUUGAGGGGAUUAGGUUUGAAGAGCUGAGGAUAACUGGUGUUUCAGACUGAUCGGGAGUUUUACCCUACAAGGAACAGUGGUGGCCUGGUAUUGGACAAUUAUUGGUUUCCUUUGCCAGAUUAUGCUGUGGUUUGUCAAACUUGAUGCCACAAUGCCCUGGAGGCAGUUUCAGUGUGAUUAAAGGUGGAGCUC